GGGCGCCGGCGGGGCCCGCACCUCGCAGAGGAAGGUCUGCCGGCUCCGGCCGCCGCCGGGGCGGAUCUGGUAUGCCGGCGUCACCCUUCUCCUCCCGCACCAGGCGUACAGGAGUGCUGUCGGGAGGUACGGGCCGAGUGGUAGAGGGCACGGGACCUCGCAUUUGUCAGAUACACCUACUACUGGACUACAAAAGCUCAAGCUGGUGGACAGGCAUAAGUCCAGGAUGCAAAAGAGGGCUUUUCAAUCUGACAGCAGAUGACUUUCUAACAUGGAUGGAAGACAGUAUUCUGCACUGCAAUAUAGAAAUGUACAGCUCAAUUCUGCCUUCAUUUUGUGGCAAGGAAAAAGAUAAAAGAAAUACCUGGUCAUUAGAGAGCCAAAAGCUUUCUGUUGCAAAAGUUUAAGUUUUGCAUUAAGUGGAGGUGCAGAAAGACAAAGCGAUCAGACAAAAACUGCAAUUAGUCAGUAUCCCAAUGACUCUGUGACUAACAGUAAAAUACCCAUCUAAGCAACUAGACAGUGUCUCACCAAUGUUUAAGAACACACUGUAGCGCUGGAGAUACUUUUGGUGGAAGAGGAGAAAACAUGAUCUAGCUGGAAGGAGGGUAGAGACAGAUCUUCCUCCUUUCCAGAAAAAAAAGGAGUCAGGAUCCUUCAGUGGGGGAAAAUUUGCCUUUUUAAUUUUUUAUCAAAAGAUACCAGCUAGUCCUGCAAUGCAGCGCUGCAAGGGAGCAGAGUAAAGUUACACAAAAAGGUGACUACACAUGUGCCAGCAAGGCCAGCCCUAACAGGAAGGGGCUCAGGCACAUUGCCAAUCCCCUGAAAGAAAUCACUGCUCAUCACGUGCAGAAUGUGCCAAGUGACACUGAAUCCCAGGAAAGGAACCUCCACUUCCAGAUCGACAUGGAAGUGAACAUCAGUCACCAUCAGGCCACACAAUGCUAUCCAACUUGGCUUUGGCCUUGACGAUGAACUCCUCAGAUGCAUCAACAAGCGGAAGCCGCGGAGGUCCCAUGGGAAUGCCAGACACAAAAGUCAUUACAGCUUUAGUCUGUGCAACACCAAAACCUGGGAGGACAAAAGCAAAAUUGGGUCAUUUACAGCUCAUUUUGCUUAAAGCAGUCUCUAUACAGGGGUCCAUAAAAGCAGCACCAUAGAGUUCCUGUGUAACGUGGCAUAAUCCAGACUUGAAGCAGAAUUGAGAACAGUGUAAGAGGAGGUGAUCAUACUUGCAGACAGAGAAGACAUUACAGUAACAAAUACACCUAUUACAUUUACUUGUAUUAUACCAUCAUUGUUUCCCUCCUAAACAUAACAAGCGGACUAUUAGACAUGCACUUUGCAAACUACUGUGUCAAUUUUGCAGAUAACCAGGGUCGUGUGUGUGUUCCUUUCUCCUUGCCAAAAACGUAUUGCCAUGCAGCCCUGACAACAGAAAAGAUGUGAGUCCUCUACAGGUAAACCAAGCAAAAAUGGGGCUACUUCAAAUUUACCUUCACUGGUAGGCUGAGCUAUCUCAGCCAAUUCAUCAUCCCAGCAACCCAAUCUUUGCAGCCUCAUAGCUAUCCUCCAAUGCAGACUCACAUAAAAUAAAGCCCUGGAAGUAGUAACAUCCUGCUGACACGUGACAAUGACAUUGGGUGCCAGUUUAAACCACCAUGGGAAACUUUAGGAGGCCUCUCUGUCCACAGCUCAAGUCUCCUUAUGUACCUCUGGAAAUUUGGUGUUUCUCUUUGCUUAAAAGGCUAAAUAAUUAUGCACUUGCUCUGACUUUUAACCCAAGAAAUACAACCAACCACUAAAGCUCAGCUAGAUUAACUGGGGCUUGCAUAUGUAUAGCAAAACUACAGUGAACCUCUUCAUCAAGUGAAACCAUGAAAUGUCCAACUCAGUCUCCCUACACUAUUCUUAAUUGGUUGGCUUUAACUGCUUUUUAUAUUAAAACUGGGGUUUGUUUGUAAAAAUCAUUCAAUUUCAAAAUGCUUUGUCCUUGUAGAGCCUUGAACAGCAUUACUCUUAAAUUAUAGCAAGGCAGGAAAGACAAGUAUCAGAGCUGUAUUCCUACUGGAGCACCACCAUUUCAGAAAAAUGACUCUCUAGAAACAAAGCUAGAAAUGAGCUUUUGGAAAGAGAACAAAAAAAAAAAAAACCACACCCACAGAAAGAGUCAAGAUAAAAAAAAAGGAUAAAUCAGAGUCACAGCUUUAAAGCUGUGAGAUUGCACAGAAGGAAGAAGGAAGCGAGAGUGGAAUCUGUCAGGGAUGCUUGGUCAGCUCCCUUUUUGAGCUCCCAGCUGCUACUAACUCAGGAAAAAGCACACGCAACAUUUUUUCACUGCAAAAUCUUUCAGGAAGGAAGUUCUGAGGGUACAGCAACUGGAGCACCAAGUCUGCAUUUUCGGCUAUUACAAGGGAAACAGGCAGUGUGGGACUUACCUAGUUUGAUGACAUAGCUGAGAAAUUCCCCAGUGAGAAACUAGAAAAGACAGAGAGUAGUUUAAUAACUCCUGCAAAUUUUAAGAUGUAAAAGCAUGUAGAGCUAUUAUGAUACUUACAUCUUAUACAACUGUUGUACAGCUUUGAGAAAAGCCCUUAGCCACCUGGCCACUCUAUGGGAAAUACUAACCGAAUUCCACUGGAACAGGAGAGGGAGGGAUGGUUAUAAUAAAACCAUCCCUCCCUCUCAGUCUAUCACUCAUGUUCAAGCUGUCCCUCAUUAAAAGCAGUCUGAGAAUGCUGAUAAGUCUCGUAUCAGCUCUAAAGGUUUACAAAUCUGAAUAUCCACUGCCUAGUGAAGAGAUUUCCCAGAGCAGAUCAUCUUUCAGACAUCUUUUAGACUUUCAUCCUGAAGUCACUUCUAUUUUAAGGCAAAAGAAGGAUUCCUCAUAUGUCCCACAAAAACAUUGGGUAUAGAUUUCAUACUGAUUGCUCAGAACUCCUCACAAAUCUUCAAGGUGCCCAAGACUAAGAGGGGUCAAGGCAGAGCUGCUUUGGGACAGCUUUCUGCCCUACGUCAUGUAAGGUAACACCAGAAUAUUCCCAGCCAAGGGGCUUGGCCACUGUGGGCUUGUUCAAGGAGAAAGGGCAGGCCAUUGUUCACUCUGCAUAGAUGAGAUGAGAGAGUUGAAGGAUAACUAAGGCAGAUCAUGGUUAAAAGUUAGUAAGGACUGGUCAAAGAGGUGAGGAGGAAUGAGUAACAAGCAGGGGGGCUGGAGUUGAAAGAAGUUUGCUUUAAUAAAGCUACCUCACGGUAUGGAUGACAAAACUACGUGGAAAACAGCCCCAGCAAAGCUAGAGGAGAAAGAAGGUUGCUCCUACUGGGGACAGUGAAGAUACCAUACCUGAUACUUCCGUGCUAAUGCAAGGUCUGGCUUUGCAAAGGCUUGUAACAUCAGAUUGGUUUUUUGGCCCAAAUAGUUGUAUGUACUGCCAAAAAAACCCAAACCAAAAAUAGCAUCAGUAAAUACAAAGGGGGAACUUAGAACCACUGACACAAAAGAUUCAGUAGCCACACACUCUCUGUUGACAUUAUAAGAAUGCCGUUAUUAUAACAGAAAUUCAUGCAAUCUAUGUGUGGUUUAUACUGUCAAGCAUCUGAAAUAUGCCAAGCCCUACAGAAGAGUUUAAGGAGCAGAUUUCUCUUCCCAGUUCUUUCCAAAUGGAACUGAUCUUCAAAAUUAAAAAUAAAAGAAGCAAUUAGACAAUACGGAAAGUCAAUCACUUAAUUUUCCAGUUGCUUUUUCAUUUAACAGAUCAUUACUUAAGAACACAGAUAUCAUGCAGUAAUUCAUCCGAGCAGCGUGGUAUGAGGGGCAGAAGACAAAUCAGAAAUAAAACUCAGCAGGGCCCUUUUCCUCACAGGCUUCUCGUGAACUAACGUAAAUGAUUUUAACCUCUUUGAGUUUUGGUUCCUUACCCAUAUAAAGAAGAUAAAAGGGAUUCCCUACUUCAAAAAGCUGCCAUGAGGGUAAAGAAAUACAUUGAAACCAUUGGGUCAUCUUACAGACUGCAGCAAUAAUCACCCAAACUAACAUACUCCCAAAUCCCAGAUUAUACAACUGUCCCGUGGCUAGCACUGGAGCUAGCUUGUCUUUCUGCUUGCUACCUGCCUUACCCUGCAAAAUCCUCCAUUGCUGUGACAGAGGACAGUUAGAGAAAUACUGUGUAGGUAGUAGAAGAUACAACAAUAAAGUGUGUGUGUGUUGCAGGGAAGGAGACCAAGCCAUACUGACCUUCCAACUGCUCCAUCUGCCCCUAUUGCCAGUGCACUCAACAGUUGCUAGUUUGGGGUGGGGGGAGGAAAAAAAACAAAACAAAACACAUUUUUACUUCAUGUAACAAAAAAUAAAAACGAAAAGAGUGGUGGGAGGGAGAAGGAAAAACUACCUGGCACUGAAAGUCCAGGGUUGCUUUUUUCCCCAAGGCUGAAGCAAGAGAAUGCCACAGAAGAAAUAAUUUCUAAGAGGAGCUUCUUACCUCAUCCACCCCAUAAAGAAACACAAACUCUUCUCUCUCAUUCUUGUUUAUACACUGUGCAAGGUCCAAGAGGUCUGUGUCACUGAACUUCACGCCCUGGAAGGUGGGGAUCUGCUCUUUUAUUCCAUCCAGCAACUCUUCAACACGAACUGUGCAGAACAGCAAUCUUAUAUGAAGGAACACACCCGUUCUGGAAGGUUUCCCUGUCUUGGCCCCGAGAGGAAGACUUACUAUUUCACAAGUUGUUCACUUUUGGCCUAAGUCUAAUAAACUAUAUAGCUCUAAAAGAACCGGUAAGACAACUUCAGGGUGAUUAUUCCCCAGAGUUAUACAAAAGACAUCUUUCCACCCUCUUUGAAGCACUCCUUUUACCAGAUCAGAAGGGAAAAACCCUGGAUAAGUGAAAGUUUAUGAAUAAACUGGCAACAACAUAUUUGAGAAUAAAUAUACAUCCAGAAACACCAUAUAACCUGCUGUCGAGGGCAAGUAACCACAGAUCUGUGCUCUAUUCCCUAUUCCUCUGCUAAAUAAUAGGACUUGGGAAGCACUGUAGUUUCACAUGUAAUUUACUAGCAAAAAUGACUAUGGAGUCAGCAUACACCAAGAGAGGUGGUGGUAACUACCUUGCAAAAAAAAAAAAAUAA